rnacentral:rRNA from 1 species
UACGAGGGGUGCAAGCGUUGCUCGGAAUUACUGGGCGUAAAGCGUGCGUAGACGGUCAUGUAAGUCGGGUGUGAAAGCCCCGGGCUCAACCUGGGAACUGCGUCUGAUACUGGAUGGCUUGAAUCCGGGAGAGGGAUGCAGAAUUCCAGGUGUAGCGGUGAAAUGCGUAGAUAUCUGGAGGAAUACCGGUGGCGAAGGCGGCAUCCUGGACCGGCAUUGACGCUGAGGAGCGAAAGCCAGGGGAGCAAACGGG